CCUGGCUCACGAUGUAGGCUAGCUACAGGCUUAACACAUGCAAGUCGAGGGGCUGCAUGGUCUUAGCUUGCUAAGGCCGAUGGCGACCGGCGCACGGGUGAGUAACACGUAUCCAACCUGCCGUCUACUCUUGGACAGCCUUCUGAAAGGAAGAUUAAUACAAGAUGGCAUCAUGAGUCCGCAUGUUCACAUGAUUAAAGGUAUUCCGGUAGACGAUGGGGAUGCGUUCCAUUAGAUAGUAGGCGGGGUAACGGCCCACCUAGUCUUCGAUGGAUAGGGGUUCUGAGAGGAAGGUCCCCCACAUUGGAACUGAGACACGGUCCAAACUCCUACGGGAGGCAGCAGUGAGGAAUAUUGGUCAAUGGGCGAGAGCCUGAACCAGCCAAGUAGCGUGAAGGAUGACUGCCCUAUGGGUUGUAAACUUCUUUUAUAAAGGAAUAAAGUCGGGUAUGGAUACCCGUUUGCAUGUACUUUAUGAAUAAGGAUCGGCUAACUCCGUGCCAGCAGCCGCGGUAAUACGGAGGAUCCGAGCGUUAUCCGGAUUUAUUGGGUUUAAAGGGAGCGUAGAUGGAUGUUUAAGUCAGUUGUGAAAGUUUGCGGCUCAACCGUAAAAUUGCAGUUGAUACUGGAUAUCUUGAGUGCAGUUGAGGCAGGCGGAAUUCGUGGUGUAGCGGUGAAAUGCUUAGAUAUCACGAAGAACUCCGAUUGCGAAGGCAGCCUGCUAAGCUGCAACUGACAUUGAGGCUCGAAAGUGUGGGUAUCAAACAGGAUUAGAUACCCUGGUAGUCCACACGGUAAACGAUGAAUACUCGCUGUUUGCGAUAUACAGCAAGCGGCCAAGCGAAAGCGUUAAGUAUUCCACCUGGGGAGUACGCCGGCAACGGUGAAACUCAAAGGAAUUGACGGGGGCCCGCACAAGCGGAGGAACAUGUGGUUUAAUUCGAUGAUACGCGAGGAACCUUACCCGGGCUUAAAUUGCAGAUGAAUUACGGUGAAAGCCGUAAGCCGCAAGGCAUCUGUGAAGGUGCUGCAUGGUUGUCGUCAGCUCGUGCCGUGAGGUGUCGGCUUAAGUGCCAUAACGAGCGCAACCCUUGUUGUCAGUUACUAACAGGUUCCGCUGAGGACUCUGACAAGACUGCCAUCGUAAGAUGUGAGGAAGGUGGGGAUGACGUCAAAUCAGCACGGCCCUUACGUCCGGGGCUACACACGUGUUACAAUGGGGGGUACAGAGGGCCGCUACCACGCGAGUGGAUGCCAAUCCCAAAAACCUCUCUCAGUUCGGACUGGAGUCUGCAACCCGACUCCACGAAGCUGGAUUCGCUAGUAAUCGCGCAUCAGCCACGGCGCGGUGAAUACGUUCCCGGGCCUUGUACACACCGCCC
rnacentral:rRNA from 1 species